GUGAGGUGCAAUGUACACAGAGGCCACACUGUGAGGUACAAUGUACACAGAGACCACACUGUGAGGUGCAAUGUACACAGAGGCCACACUAUGAGGUACAAUGUACACAGAGGCCACACUGUGAGGUGCAAUGUACACAGAGGCCACACUGUGAGGUACAAUGUACACAGAGGCCACACUGUGAGGUACAAUGUACUACAGAGGCCACACUGUGAGGUGCAAUGUACUACAGAGGCCACACUGUGAGGUGCAAUGUACACAGAGGCCACACUGUGAGGUGCAAUGUACACAGAGGCCACACUGUGAGGUGCA